GCGGUGAUUAUCCUUUUUUAACCCCUAGAAAUUCUCUUUGAGGAACAAAAACGCAACAACACUCUAAUUUUUUAAUGAGC
rnacentral:snoRNA from 1 species